UAAAAGUCGGUAAUCCGGACGAGCCGACCGUUCCGGACAUCCAAGUGCUGCUUGCAUCGCAACUGGUCGGACAAGAUUACGGCAUUUUAACCUUGGGCAAGUUCAAACAAUCAGUACAAGAUUAUUAUAAGCCGACGCUAGGAAGAGAUGGCUUCUCCAUGAGUCCCGUACUUCUCAGACCCAAGAGCGUCGGGACGGUGACCCUCAAGUCCAAGAACCCCUUCGACCCGCCCGUCCUGGACCCCAACUGCCUCAGUCACCCCGACGACGUCGAGCUUUUGGUCAAGGCUUCAAAAGCUUCAGUUCAGUUAGGCAAUGCCAAGACAUUCCGCAGGUCUCUCGGCGCUGAACCCAUCAACAAG
rnacentral:lncRNA from 1 species